UCAGGCUACAAAUGUGGGGAGGCAGCCUCAGGCCAAGGGACUGGUAGAGGACUCUGGGGCUUGGGGAGGGAGUACCAGAAAGGCAUCCGACAGACCCCUCCUCAUGUGCCCUCAGGAUCUACCACCCAGAGGAUCUCAGUUAUGUCAGGGACAUGUGACAGAGGGCCACGGUGGAAACAGCAGACUAAGCCCACAUUCUGCCUCGGCUGAGGAGGGUCCAGCUUUCAGAGCAACGAUCUGUCAGCCAACAGAGGCAGGCCAUUGUUCGGAGCAGUGUGGUAAGCUGUGGUGCUGUUCUGCUCAAUCUUCAGAAAGCAAACAUGACUUCCUUCGGGAAGCCUUCUGGGACUCAUCCCCUAGCGCUCUCCUUAGUCUAGAACAGAUUUCUCCCACUCAGAGUGUUUUCUUUCAGAGCCCUCAUCAGUUUGUAAUUGUAUAUGUACAUGUGAGUCCCCCUUGCUGUCAAAGAUCACAUCAUUCACCAUCAUAGUCCCCAUGUCUGGAAACAUCAGAUACACAAUGUUUAAUAAACACUGAAUAUAAUAAAA